UUUGUUUCUCUUCCUUUGGUGAGGGUGUGGGUGUUUGAGUCCUUUCCUUAGGAUGCGUUAAUGACUUAAGACCAUCUUGUACAUCUUGUACACGUUGUCCAUCCAGUUCAUCCUGUCCAUCUAAUAACAUCUGUCCAUCUCCAUGCCAUGGGAAUUGUCUAUGAAUAAUCAUAUUGAACUUAAAAAUAAAAGAGAGCAAAGGACUGGUAUCUGUCCCGUGUUUUAAUCAGACACGCCAUCAAGUUUCUACACCUCUGAUGAACUUUGGAUAUAUUAACAUCUGAUAUCCUUCAUCCACCCACUGGUGAACAAGUGACGUAAAGCUAAAUUUAGCAAAAUCUGUUCUGAUGAAGAAACAAACUCUUCUACAACUUGGAUGGCCUAAGGGUGAGUCUAUUUUUAGAAAAUUUUCAUUGUUGAUUGAACUAUUCCUUUAAAGGACGAUUUCUGUCAUCAUUUCAUCUUAAUUUUUGGUUAAACUACUCUUUUAACUCAAUAAUCAACUGUUGAGUUAUUAGAAAGUCAUGAAUGGUCUCCACUUUAUAUCCCAUGUGAAUGAAGACUCAUGGCAGAGACACAACGGAGGCUCUUCUGCUAGAUGAGGAAAAAUGUGCUCGUGUUUCACAAAUCAAAGCAAAUCUUGCUAACAUCUGUUUUAUAGUAGCUUUUUUUACAAUAAAAAAUACAAACUUACUUUCAAAGCUAUUAAAUCAGAAGGAUGGUUUACCCAAAAAUGAAAACACGGUCGUUAUUUACACACCCCCCGUACUGUUCCAAACCUGUAUGACUUAGGUCUUUCCAUGGAAAAUGCAGAACCGUGUCCCGCCUGAAUGUAACGCACCAACUCUUAAAGGAAAAAUACCAUUAGGGGUAUAGUGUGUGCUUAAAGCAACAAUUUCGUAGCUUUUUACCAGUAAAAGUUUCAUAGUAGCACCUUAAGGAUACAUAUUACUUAUCUAAGGCACCAAUAUGCACCUUUUAGGUACAUCUGUUGCACAUUUAUCUAAAAGGGAUGUUUGAAUAUUCAAGAUUUAUUAAAAAAAAAAAAACAAGGCAUUUAAAAAGAUUUUCUGUGAAUGAUUUAAAUUUCAGUCAGUUACUCGUAUCAUAGUUUCAGAAGUCGUACAGACCACUUAUCCUUCACUUUUUUAUUAUACUGAAAGUUCUCCAGAAUUUCUUCUUUUGAGUUCCAUGGAAGAAAAAAAAAGCAUACAUGGUUUGGUACUACAUGGGGGAGUGUAAAAGAUGACAAAUUUGUGUAAACUAUCCCCUGAAGUAAAAUGUUACACCAGCAUAUCAUAAAAAGAUCGGUCAAUGUGUCAUAAUGUGUUACCUGCUAGGUGAGAGCCUCGCAUCAUGCUCUGACACAUAGCAGAGCAUCAAAACCAUCUCUGCUGACCGAAAGAAAAAAAAUCCUAUAAAUCCAAUUUAGCGAGCGUUUUAUCCGAACUAUUUAAAUGUAUAAUUUUCUGCAAAGUGUCUGUAGUACCUUGUUUGACAGGUUCUCUAUCUUUUCCUGGUCUAACCGAUGUUGACGGGAUAGUGCCUCCAGGGUGAGAGCUGAGCGCUCCACUUCCCUGUUCAACACACACACUAUGUUCUCCAAUGCUGUGACUUUCUGCUGUACACCAGGGCCGCCUCCUCUUCCUGCAUUAUGGCCAGCAGCAUGAGCCCCCGCUGGAGAUGCGUCUUCAGGUCCGCGAUACAAUCCCAGUCCGGAAUCUUCAUGCCACUCUCCAGUCCUCUCGGUCCGCAGGCGCACAGAGGACAGUACGGCUAGCAUGAGACGCAAAUGUUCCGUCACGCUGGUCUGCUCAUGCUCCUGCUGCUUACCAUUGUCAACCUAUGAAAAAUACUUAAAUUAAUACUAAAUUAAUAAGGGUUGCAUAAAAUUAUGUAAAAGCAUUUCUUUAAUGUAUAAAGUAUUUAUUAAUUUAUGUUGAAAAAUGUCUUGUGGUUACCAAGAGAAAGAAAGGGUUAAACACAUAACUGAACCAAGACACUAUUAACACACAAUUCUCACUAUUAACUAGUCACUUAUUAGCAUGCCUUCUUGAAAACCUACUGAUUUUAACAGUUGUUAUAUAAUAAUUAAAAGCUUUUGUUAAUGUUGCUGGUAUUGAGGUGUGAUUCGUGUAAGAAUUGGAGGCAGGUUUGGUUGUAUGGGUAGGUUCAUGGGUUGGUUAAUGGGUCAACGGUGUACAGGGAUCAAUCUGAUUACUAUAAGGGAACAUUGUUCAAUCUGUUUAUAUAAAUUUUUUUUUGAUCAUGAUCAUACGAAUUUAGCGUUUCAUGAUAUUUGUAAGCAUUUUAAUUUACAUUAAAUAAUGGUUUGUUAAUCAUUAGGUAAUAAGUUCUUUAGUAAACAAUAACAAGCACAUUAGCCCCUGUCACACAUACAGUCUUUACUGGUAAAUUACUGGUAAAUUACCAUUAAGAGAUCAAGGACCUUUUCAAAAAUACCUGUAAAUUCGUUCUGUCAGUUUACUGGUAUGAGAAGUUGUAACAUUACCAGUAAAUUACCGGUAAUCUGCUCUGUGUGAAUGCAGAAUGAAGAUUACUGGUAUGAGCACAUUUGAGUAAGACGUCUACUCUGGACCAAUUCAGAGCCAUUGAAAUUCAAAAUUCAAUCAUAACAUUCUGAUGCAGAUUAUGUAUUUACUCCGUGCUGUGUAGUUCAGUCUAAUAUGAUGUCUCUGGGCCAAAAGCUCUGCAUGAAUGUGAAUGUUUGACACAAAAAUGAAAGUAUCAAAAAAACACUGACCGCAUAUAUUCCUCCAUGUUUACAAACAUAACACCAGGUGGUGCAUCCGUUUAGAGGUAAUUUCUGGUUAAUGAUGUCACAGAAUUUACCGGUAAUUUGAAACUGAUGUGAAUGGUGCUUUACCGGUAAAAAGACAAAGCGUUGUUGCA